rnacentral:rRNA from 1 species
AGACGUGCGCAGGCGGUUAUAUAAGACAGAUGUGAAAUCCCCGGGCCUCAACCUGGGAACUGCAUUUGUGACUGUAUAGCUGGAGUGCGGCAGAGGGGGAUGGAAUUCCGCGUGUAGCAGUGAAAUGCGUAGAUAUGCGGAGGAACACCGAUGGCGAAGGCAAUCCCCUGGGCCUGCACUGACGCUCAUGCACGAAAGCGUGGGGAGCAAACAGGAUUAGAUACCCUAGU